UACGUAGGGUGCAGGCGUUAAUCGGAAUUACUGGGCGUAAAGCGUGCGCAGGCGGUUUCUUAAGUCAGAUGUGAAAUCCCCGGGCUUAACCUGGGAAUGGCAUUUGGGACUGCAAGGCUAGAGUACGGCAGAGGAGACUAGAAUUCCUGGUGUAGCGGUGAAAUGCGCAGAUAUCAGGAAGAACACCCGUGGCGAAGGCGGCUCUCUGGAACGCAACUGACGCUGAGACGCGAAAGCGUGGGGAGCAAACAGG
rnacentral:rRNA from 1 species